rnacentral:rRNA from 1 species
GACGAACGCUGGCGGCGUGCUUAACACAUGCAAGUCGAACGAAGUGGCGAACGGGUGAGUAAUACGUGGGUAACCUGCCCUCCUUUUUGGGAUAAGCCUUGGAAACGGGGUCUAAUACCGAAUAAAGGGGGAUGGGCUCGCGGCCUAUCAGCUUGUUGGUGGGGUGAUGGCCUACCAAGGCGGUGCCGGGUAGCCGGCCUGAGAGGGUGACCGGGCACGUGAGGACUGCGAGACUGCCAAGACUCCUACGAGAUGCGGCAGUGGGGGAUAUGGCGAAAGGGGCGAAAAGCUGAUCCGGCGACGCCACGAGGGGGAUGAAGGCUUUCGGGUUGUAAACCUCUUACGAUAUCGAACGGGUAUGUGGAGAAGAAGCGCCGGCUAACUACGUGCCAGCAGCCGCGGUAAUAC